AGGGAGACAAUAACUGAUCGUGAUGUCUGGCUUAAUUAUAGCUAGGCCAUGAUCCUGUCAUCUCGAUGGUUAAUCGGUACCUCAACCGACAGAGACGAAGCCAGAGGUUGCUCCAGCGAUGGGGGAACCAACGAGCUGUCGUGGAUGUCUUUUCAGUUCCUAAACUUUGUCUAGGUCACCCCGCAAGGGAAUCCCUGGGCCAUUAGCUCAGGUGGUUAGAGCGCACCCCUGAUAAGGGUGAGGUCCCUGGUUCAAGUCCAGGAUGGCCCAUUCGUGUUUGGGGGUUUAGCUCAGUUGGUAGAGCGCCUGCUUUGCAAGCAGGAUGUCAGCGGUUCGAGUCCGCUAACCUCCACUGACCAACCCGCCCGGAUCGCGAAAGCAAUGGGAGAGAGCUUGUGGUGGUGAUUUUAGAUGAUUGUACUGACGUAGGACUCUAGCUUCCUUUCAGAUGACAGUUCAACCAGGAUCCUGAGGAAUACAGGAGUUGGUAGAGGCUGUGAUUGAAAAGACGCUGGACUCCAGCAGGAUCAGCCGAGAGGUUGAUUGAUGCGGUGUUCAGUAGAACCUUGACAACUGCAUAGGUAAGUCUGUAAAUAAAGCAUCUCAUGGAUGCUUCAGGAACAGCUGUGGAAACCGGUGGCUUUGGCUGCUGGGAUCAAAGCUUGUUGUUGGAGCAAUCCUAGAGUAGGAGCCGAGACUCCACAUUGCUCCUGGUUCUUGCCGAAAGAAUCGGGUUUGAUCCUGUUUUCAAAGACAGCACGAGAGGAACUGGAGAAAUCCAGCUGCUCCAAGGCUGAGGAUGAAAGCAGGAGAAUCUGCGUACAACCGCAGCAAGGUGGUGUGGAGAUAAAUU
rnacentral:tRNA from 1 species